GACGAACGCUGGCGGCGUGCCUAACACAUGCAAGUCGAACGGGGAUAUGUUUUCGGAUGUAUCCUAGUGGCGCACGGGUGAGUAACGCGUGAGCGACCUGACCCAAAGAGGGGGGAUAACGUCGAGAAAUCGACGCUAAUACCGCAUAAGACCACGGAGUCGCAUGGCUCUGAGGUCAAAGGAGCAAUCCGCUUUGGGAGGGGCUCGCGUCCCAUUAGAUAGUAGGCGGGGUAACGGCCCACCUAGUCAGCGAUGGGUAGCCGAGCUGAGAGGCUGAUCGGCCACACUGGAACUGAGACACGGUCCAGACUCCUACGGGAGGCAGCAGUGGGGAAUAUUGGGCAAUGGGCGAAAGCCUGACCCAGCAACGCCGCGUGAGGGAAGAAGGUUUUCGGAUUGUAAACCUCUGUCGCAGAUGACGAAGGAAGUGACGGUAGUCUGUGAGGGAAGCCCCGGCUAACUACGUGCCAGCAGGCCGCGGUAAUCUCGUCUCUA
rnacentral:rRNA from 1 species